GAUGAACGCUGGCGGCGUGCCUAAUACAUGCAAGUCGAGCGAACAGACGAGGAGCUUGCUCCUCUGACGUUAGCGGCGGACGGGUGAGUAACCCGUGGAUAACCUACCUAUAAGACUGGGAUAACUUCGGGAAACCGGAGCUAAUACCGGAUCAUAUAUUGAACCGCAUGGUUCAAUAGUGAAAGACGGUUUUGCUGUCACUUAUAGAUGGAUCCGCGCCGCAUUAGCUAGUUGGUAAGGUAACGGCUUACCAAGGCAACGAUGCGUAGCCGACCUGAGAGGGUGAUCGGCCACACUGGAAAUGAGACACGGUCCAGAAUCCUACGGGAGGAAGCAGUAGGGAAUCUUCCGCAAUGGGCGAAAGCGUGACGGAGCAACGCCGCGUGAGUGAUGAAGGUCUUCGGAUCGUAAAACUCUGUUAUUAGGGAAGAACAAAUGUGUAAGUAACUAUGCACGUCUUGACGGUACCUAAUCAGAAAGCCACGGCUAACUACGUG
rnacentral:rRNA from 1 species